GAUGAACGCUGGCGGCGUGCCUAAUACAUGCAAGUCGAGCGAACGGACGAGAAGCUUGCUUCUCUGAUGUUAGCGGCGGACGGGUGUGUAACACGUGGAUAACCUACCUAUCAGAGUGGGAUAAUUUCGGGACACCGGAGCUUAUACCGGAUAAUAUUUUGCAGCGCAUGGUUCAAAAGUGAAAGACGGUCUUGCUGUCACUUCUCGAUGGAUCUGGGCUGCAUUGGCUAGUUGGUAAGGUAACGGGUUUCCAAGGGAACGAUGCAUAGCCGACCUGAGGGGGGGAUCGCCCACCCUGGAACUUGGACGCCGUCCAGACUCCUACGGUAGGCAGCAGUAGGGAACCUUCCGCAAUGGUGGAAAGCCUUACGGAGCAACGCCACGUGAGAUAUGAAGGUCUCCCGAUCGUAAAACUCUGUUAUUAGUGAAGAACAUAUGUGGAAUUAACUGUGCACUGCGUGACGGUACCUAAUCAGAAAGCCACGGCUAACUACGUG
rnacentral:rRNA from 1 species